CUUACAAUAAAUGUUGCUUAAAACUACAUGUAGGAAAUACGAUAUCGGAAUUAUAUGCUUAACAUCAAAAUAAAUUAAACUAUAUUCAAGGAAAUUUUUAGGAUAAAAUUGUUGAGUAUGAGAAGAAAUUGGAGCUAUAAGCUUACUUAGAAAAUGAUGCGCGUGGUAUUCACAUUUGUUAACUUCAGCAAAGUCCUUUUGUUAUUCCAUGAAGGCUUCACUCCAGUUGUCAAGUCCACAAGUAGGCCUCAAUGAUAAGAAAUGUCUAAAACAGUGGCCAAACGUUUGGAAUUUGCGGCAGCAUCGCCUGAUAAAAAUAUGCAAAGAAUAACAUCAAUUUUAUAAUGAUCAAGAUAUGUCCUAUAUUAAUGUUGCAUGGAUCGUACAUUAAUUUUUGAUGGAUCUUGCAUCAAUACUGAAUCAUUUCAAUUAUUUUUAAUGUGAAAUCUUUUUGUUGAAAAAUGUAAAUACAGUAUUUUUAAUGUGAGCCUAGUUUUAUUUUUCAAAUUUCAGGUGUGUAUAAUGUGAGUGAUAAUGU